rnacentral:rRNA from 1 species
GCUGGCGGCGUGCUUACACAUGCAAGUCGAACGCGAAAGUUUUCUUCGGAAGACGAGUAGAGUGGCGCACGGGUGAGUAACGCGUAAGUAAUCUGCCCUGGUAUUUGGGAUAACCCACCGAAAGGUGUGCUAAUACCGGAUACGCUGAUUUAUCAGGAAAGGUGGCCUCUUCAUGAAAGCUACUGUACCAGGAGGAGCUUGCGUACCAUUAGCUAGUUGGUAGGGUAAUGGCCUACCAAGGCAACGAUGGUUAGCGGGUCUGAGAGGAUGAUCCGCCACACUGGAACUGAAACACGGACCAGACUCCUACGGGAGGCAGCAGUGAGGAAUAUUGCGCAAUGGGGGAAACCCUGACGCAGCGACGCCGCGUGGAUGAUGAAGGCCUUAGGGUCGUAAAAUCCUGUCAGAUGGAAAGAAAUGUACAUGUGCUAAUAUCACUUGUAUUUGACGGUACCAUCAAAGGAAGCACCGGCUAACUCCGUGCCAGCAGCCGCGGUAAUACGGAGGGUGCAAGCGUUGUUCGGAAUUACUGGGCGUAAAGCGCGCGUAGGCGGUUUGUUAAGUCAGAUGUGAAAGUCCACGGCUCAACCGUGGAAGUGCAUUUGAAACUGGCAGACUUGAGUACUGGAGGGGGUGGUGGAAUUCCCGGUGUAGAGGUGAAAUUCGUAGAUAUCGGGAGGAAUACCGGUGGCGAAGCGACCACCUGGCCAGAUACUGACGCU